UGUACAGCCACAUCAGACAGUACUGCUGCCUCAGAGAAAGCCUUAAGCUCUGCGGGGAAGUCAACUAGGCCAGAAUUUGCUAUAAACUUGAACAAAUAAGCUGCAUGUCGAUGAAGGGAUUUGUAGUCCCGAAUCAUGUCAAAUUUUACUUGAAACAAAAUGUCCCCACAGUCAUUGGUCGCCUCCUUGAAAACCCUCAUGGCAUAUUCCUUUAGGUCAUUAGCAGAAGAAUUAGGGGAACUAGUCUCUGCCAUCGAUUCGAUUGUUAGCUGCAGUUUAGUUGUAGCAGAACAAAAAGACCCAAAUCAAAGCUUAGUGAAAUUAGGGUUUAUGAGCCAGAGUAUAAAAAUCAAAACUUUACUAAAAUUGAGUGAAGAACAGGUAAAGGGUAAUCAGAGCUUUCAGAAAGGAAAAAGACCCAAAUUAGUGAGCUGUAUUUAGGGUUUUCUAUUUCAACUCAAACCCCAAAAUUGACCACAGCCGGAGUGUAAUAAAUCAGAAAUUUACUAAAUUCCAAGUGCAGAAAAGGAAAGGAAAUGAAAGAUGAGUGAACUGAACUUGGGUCUUCUACUAUUAGAAACAAAUGAACAUAAACUAGUAGCUACAGUGUGAGAUACAUAUAUAUAGGUGAAUAAGAUGAGCUAGGGUUUCGAAGAGAAGAAGCCGACUGACCUUUCUGUGAUGAUUUUGCGACGACGGCAGAUCUGCGAUUUGGAGGAGGAGGAAGAGGAAGAGAGAAAAUGAGAGUUCAGUACUUCAUGUGUAUUUUUUAAGCAUCCAGAACAAUAAUUGGAAACUUGAUCAACGCCUACUUCGUUUUUGUUUUUGUUUUUUUACUUACAAAGGGGAGCUAAAAGGCCCAAAAUUCGAUUUUUAUUUUUUCCUCACAAAAGGGAGCUAAAAGGCCCAAAUUUCGUUAACGUGACCGAUAUGACUUUUGAUCUUACUACCCGAUCAUAAAUGAAAGAUCAUCAAAUUUCAUGUCACAUUAUCUUACUUGGAAUGUUAUUGAAUGAUUACAAGUAUUCAAGUUGCUAUGUUUACUAACACAAGAAGAAUUAGAAUUUGUUAUGUCACACCUCUUUAUUAAGAAUCGAUUUCUUAAUACUCAUAAUUUGAUUACAAAAAGAGAGAGACGAGUUUAAUAGAAACCAACUAUCCGGAGUCGAUACUAUUUCAUCUCUCAUACGUGUCUUUAAUUCAUGAUUAUUUUUCAUUUUAAAUAAAUAAACGUGUCAUCAAUAUAUAUUUUUUACUAAUGCCACAUAACAUAAAUGGCACAAACUGAAACCGGAAGUUAUUCUAUAAAAGGUGUCCGUCAGUGGGUUUUUUUUCUGGUCUGACGCUAGUGGGUUAAUGAUGAUGAAUUUUUUACUUGGGUCAAAGCUAAAUAUGGAUUGUGCCACCAAAAAUAGGCAGAAGAACAAAAAAAAAACAAACUCUAUUGGACUACAUUUUACAGAGCGGUCAUUGGGGAGUCUCUAUUCUCUAAUGAGAUCUUCGUAAAGACCAUUAGAUCAACCAAUAUAGUUUAAGGUCACCUGGUUAUGCCCGGGAAUUCUUUUCUGGCUUCUAAAUAUGAAAGCUAUAGAAGCAAGAAACAUAGUGACGUUUACAUACAAAAAAAUGCAGUUGCAUAAGCAACACAAAGUUUAGACAUGGAUGCAUGUAUUUUCUAAAUUGAUAGAAUGAACUUAUGCAUACUAGUAAAUACUUCCAUCAUUUUUCCAGUAGAAUUACACAAAUAAGAAGAUUAGGAACAAAUUACAAAAUCUUAGGUGCAUCAACGUUCUAAUAGAGAAGCUUCAGAAGCUAGGUGAGACAAUCCUGACAACUAAAUGAGCAACAUGAGGCGGCCAUAUAAAUGUCCCUGGGAAACAUGAUACAAAUUGUAUGGAAUUGUUGGAGUGACCCCUUAACCUCCUCAACUAAUUGGACGCUAAUCAAUUACAUAGGAUCAUAGCUUGAGCGCACACACCCGUCUCUAAAGCAACUCAAAAUUCUAUACAGAUUGAUUUGAUCUUUUGAGAAGGCCACAAGAGCAGCAGCUAUCCCCCAUAUCUGGAUACCACAUGGAUACAAUAAACUAAAGUUUUUCAAGUAUCAGUGUAAUGUUGAGAAGGCCAGGACAUUUCAAAGCAACUUGCCAUUCUUCCACCACCAAACAGUUCAACGAAGGAAUUAAAAACUAACCCAGCUCCCGUGGCCUCAGACGCAACCAGAACUAUAUGCCUUGUAAUUGAACUACUUUAGGUGAUCAUCUUAGAUAUGAAGUCGAAAUUUAAUAACAUUUUAGACUAAACUAUACAAACCUGGAGGAACUGGUGCAGCAAGUUGUUUCUGAUGUUCUCAUAUGCAAAACUAAAGACUAACUGGAGUUCAAUUAAAACCUCUAAAUUCCUUAGUAUAUUACAUGAUAAAAACAUGUGAUAUACUAAAUCAUAAACCAAGUGUUGUUAUUAAGAAAAAACAAAAUGAAAGUGGCACUGAACAGAGUACCAUAAGAAUAGCAGUGGUUUAGAGAAAGGGAAGUCUUCCAUGACUCAUGUCUAUACCACAGGGCAAAGAAGGGAAAAGUAAUAAAUAAAUGAAAAGGAGCUCAUGCCUAAACCUAAAUUUUGAUUAAUAAUCACCAAAAAAAAAUUGAAAGAUGGAGAAAGUGCAGCUUUUAUAGAUACUAGAUGCUUUCGAAAUCCCAGAAGAAAACUUACCCAUUGCAGAUUCAUACAAGAUGGUAAUGUCACCAUAACCUCCAAUCUUUGUCGCAAGUUUUCCGUUCAGAGUCAUAUAACUUACUGGCAUGUACAUAUCAUCAAUAUCACUACAGGAUGUGAGGUUUGGACCAAUUGAAUGCAGGGCCUAUAGAGGAAACUGCAGCAUACAAAUGUACAAUACAACAAUAAAGCUGCACUAUACACAAUAAAGCUAGUUAAGACCAGGAAAUCUAACAGAUAUUUCAGAAAAAAAUCAUUUGAGAACUAAGACAUAAUGCAAUCAGAUCAAAGUACAUAAUUACCAGACAAUCUAAGAAGUUGUCUUUCAAGCAAAGCAUCAACUUGAUCAACCCAUUUGAUAUGUCUUCUAUAAUGAGCGAAAAGCCGAAAAUAGCAAAGACUAGGCUCAGGCACUUUGGCAUUCAAGAAACACAUAGUUUGUGAACAUUUUCUGAGCAAGAGUAUCAAUCACAUACAUAGUUUAUAAAUUUUUUUUAGAGUAACCAGCCCUCAAAUGGACAUAUUCAAGAAGUUGCAUACUUCCAUUUGCUUGCUUCAGUUCCCAGCUAGUUUCUUGAGGGAAAUGUCUAUCUUACUACUGUACUUGAGAUGAACAUCAAGAGAUUCAUUCCUAUUGGAAAUUGAUUUCUUCAUAACAUAAUGCCUUAGAAGGGAGAAAAAGAAAUGAAACUGGCAAAGAAUUAUGUAUCUAUAAAAAUAAAACAAAAGGUAUAUGAGGGCCUUCUAAAUUGAGUAUCUCAGUAUCUUUAAUGAGUUCGAAUGAAUAAAACUCCAGACCCACUGAUGUUAACAGACAAAGAGCCUUGGAGUACUUGUUACAACAUUCAAGUUCAUGUUUCUAAUCAUCAACAUUAAGUAAAGUACAAUUAAGUUUCAUGCUUCAAGUAACUAGCUAUAAACAAAUAAUUCAUAUUGUUCCUAAAUAAAGAAUCACAAAUCAUCAUGUAUUUUACAUCACUCACAAGGGGAUGAUACAGUUUUCCUCUAUCCAAAUCAGAAAAUCACAUGUUUGUAAUUGUCUAUGCAUAAACAAUGAUACAUAUUACUCAAUAGAGUGAGUAGCCAAGUAAUAAGCUAAAAGUUAGUCUUAACGAGGUAAUGAUGAAAAGGAACCUUCCUAUAACAACAAUAUAUAUGUUCCAGAAGAUCUUCCAUCUUGUCUAACUCUCACCACACACAAACCCUCAACUAUACCGUUUGAAAUAUUAGUUUGACAGACCAUCUUAUCUGCCUAGCUAUUCCUGGCUUGUUGCCUUUUCAGAGUAAAUUAAAUUUUCAUAUCUUAGGUAUUCUUAAACGAAAAACAAUCAGCUGUCAAGGAUUCUCUAAGACGUACAGACAAGUGUCUCAGCUAUGCGGUGGGCCUCUUCAUACCUUGCUAGCAUUUAAUCGUACCAGAGUCAGUCUUUGGCUAAUGAAGAAAGCCCUAUUUCCUGCUUACGUUAUUUCAUCAGUUCCUUCCAAUUUUCUUUAACUCUACCCUCAACAUAGUUUCUUUACUUCACGAUUCACUUCUACAAGAUCACAAGGCAUAUGCCAACCCCAAGCUUCAAACACCUCUAUCAUCUAUUCCUCAUCCACAUACAAUUGAUACCCCACAAAAUACAAAACCACACACAAACUGUCACAUCCCGACCCUUAUAUUUUUACCUUAUUUACUAGCGUGAUUAUAAUAAGAAUUUUACCGUCUCGAUCAUGAGUAAAUAGUUUAAUUGGUCCCUAGAGGGGUUUUGGGGACGAUUAUGUGCAGAGGAUUAUUCGUAUGAGGAAAAUACGACGACGGUAAAAAUGGUAAAUUUUAGCUAGUAAAAGGUAAUUUUUAAUUCGGGUAUUAUUUUUUCGGGGUGUUUUAUUUUGGAGUGGGUUGAUAUAUGAAUUGGACCGGUUGGGAGGCCCAACCCAUUUUCUCUCUUUCUCUUCUUCUCUCUUUUCCCUUCCUCCUCUCUCCCGUGCUCUCCUCCCACUGCCGGACUGUCCAGCAGCCAACUGCCGCCGUCCGGCCAGCCACCGGCCGCCACUCCACCCCAGUUCGGACCCCCACCUCCUCCUCUCCCUCCCCGGCCUAGCCCCCGAGCCUCUAACCCGCCGGAAGAGGAGAAAACCCGCCGGAAAAGCCGGGAAGCAUUUCGCCGGAACUCCCUCCUCCGGCCACCAAUCCGGGCAAGCUUGGUAUGGUUUUGUAGCCCUCCAACCCAGCAACCUUGCCCUAAAAGGACUCACUCCCUCUUGAGCUAGGUAAGGAGAAAUUUGAGGUGGAAGUUUUAUGGUGUUUUUGAUGUUUUUAGUCGAUUGCCCUAGUUAGGCUUGGAAUUGGUGUUUGUGCUAGUUAUGAAAGUUGUAGAGCAUGAUGAGAGGAAGAUGCUGUUAAAAUUUCAUAGGAAUUGGAGGUCGCCGGAACUGGUCUCCGGCCGCCGCCGGUUGGCAGAUUUUAAUGUUGUUAAAUUUGGAAUAUUAAGGGGAGUUUAUUGAAGUGAGUUAUGGAAUUUUUGGAUGAGUUUUGGAUAGGUUUAUGAAUUUCCGAAGUUAGUAUUUUUGGCGGUUAAUUAAUGUAGAAUCCGGCCGUAGGAUUUAGGUCGUAUUUUGGAGAGGUUGUAUUUACGACUGUUGAGUAUGAUAUUUAAGUUCGGAUUGUUCCAAUUUAAGAUUAUCGAAGUUAGGCAAUGAUGAGCGUAUUUAUGGCUCUCGGGUAAUUUUGCCUAUUUUGAUUAAAUAUUGGAAUUUCGGCUGGGAACUUAAUAUUAUAUUUGGAACAGGUCGUGAGGAGGCUCGAGUUGACGAGGCCCCAGAUCGACAUCAGGCUUAGGCCUAAUUUGUGAGUGGACUUUUGUUUUAAAUAAUGUGCGUGCGAAAUAAUUUAUGUUGUUGGAGAAUAACCGAAAUUNNNNNNNNNNNNNNNNNNNNUGUUUUGAGCUGUCACAUGCAGCAUAUUUUCUUUUCUAUGGAAAAGUAAAAAUUGGGAAAGCAUAAAGAAUUAUUUCCUUUAUUUUAUUUUUGUCCACUCACUCUAAUGUUAUUAAAUGUUUUCCCCUGGGCCUUUCGUUUUAAAUUGCCCAGUCUGCAGAGUUCGGGUUGGAUCUAGUAGGAGGCGAGACAUAGUCACCCGCAUUUCUGCCAGUUUUCAUCAGUAGGUUACCUGUUCAACCUACUCGUGUUUUCUUGCUUCCGUUUGUGUUUAGUAGCUCUGAAUACUUUGGGAUUAUUGUAUAUUAUGUGAUGUUUGGAAGUGUUGAAUUAAGAGUGAAAUUUGGAAUCUUCGAGUUAGGGUUGUCCAUCUGCAAGGGAGAUUUUCUCAAUCUUUUCAGUAAAUUUUCCUUGAGGGUGGUCCCCGCACGACUUACUCCGGGUUUCAGGGUGAAAUUUAGGGUGGGUCGUGUCACAAACACAUAACAAGAAAUGGUAAUGGUUUUGGUACCUCAAAGCGAAUGUUCUUGUAGACAAGCUCUUCGACAUCGCUGCCCAUGUACAUUUGGUUCGUAGUGACAACCUCUCCCAAGGGUAAUUUGUAAAGACUAGUUGUCUUCCCAGCAUUGUCCAACCCAACCACCACAAUCUUAUACUCCUUUGCAGGAAACAACAUGAACCAAAACUUGGAUAUGAAUGCCCCGAUUCAAAAAAAAUCAAUCUUUCACCUAAAAAACCAAACAUUAUCAGAAAAAUAAUACAAACCAAAAUCAAAAAGCACCCAAACAUGAUAAUACAUAACAAUUCUGAUUACCCAAAUCAAGAUCGCAGAGAAAUCAUCAGAAAGAUAGCAAAUUUCUAUAUGUUUAAUCCGAUUUAGCAGAUUCAAUAAACGAAAAAUUUGUGAAACAAAGAGUUUCGUGAUUACCUUGAUUAAUCUCCUCCCAAAUUCUUGUUCCAGUCGGGUCGAACCGCAACCUUGAUUUGCGCAAACCACACAAACUUAAAGGAUCUGACCUCAGAUACCCAACACCCACAAUCCUCGAUUCCAUAAAAUUGGAUCGAAACCCCUCAAUUCGAUCUUGGACCCAGAAAAUUUUUCGGUCCCAAAACCCAAAAACCCUUGUCUGCUCUUGCUUAUUUACUAUCUGCCUCGUUUCAAUAGGGUAACAAGUAAAAUGACUAAAACAGUGCUCUCCUCCCCAAAAGAAAAGAGAAGAACGAGAAGUCCCUGACAUCAGGCCCCAACGGUCUAAUUCAUUAAGCUCGUAAAAUUAGAAAUUAUCCAUCAUACUGUCUUAUCCAUUAAGCUGUCUUGGUGAUCAAGACACUCCGUUGACAAUUUGACUUCCCCGGCCACAGUUGGCAGAAACCGCGUUGAGCAACGGUAAUAUUUCCGAGUCUAUAAAUCACACUCAUAACCUCCCACUUCACUCACAAUUCUCACUUCCAUUUUCUCUCUAUCUUUCUCUCUCUUUCUCUCUCUCUCUCUGCUUCAAUUCUCUAUGUUUCCCCAAUUUCCCGAAACCUAAUUCAAAGCCAGAAGUAAGGAAUUUAGGGAUCAUGGAUCCAACGGGUUUCAGAUUCCAUCCGACUGAUCAAGAGCUGAUCGGGCACUACCUUUUCAUCAAAAACAACUCUGAUCCGGUGCUGGAGACGGGAUCAUAUUUGCGGGAGUUUGACAUGUACGGUGAGAUAGAGUCGUGGACGAUUUGGGAAGCCUAUGGGGGACCGCUUCUCGAUGACCAGGAUCUCUUCUUCUUCACUCGCCUUAAAAAGCACGGACACCGAAUCAAUCGAAGAAUCGGAUCCGGUACUUGGAGCCAAGGCGAGCCCUUCAAAUCUGUUUAUGCCAAAAACAACCAAGAAACCCCAAUUGGGAAAAAGACCAAGUUGAGGUAUGAGAACAAAAACGUGACGGAGCAAAGUGGUUGUUGGUUCAUGGAUGAGUACAGUACUGUUGAUUAUGAUGGUGAUUAUGUGAUUUGCCGACUUCGAGAGAACCCCGACAAGAGACCAUCACCACCACCGUUAUCAAAACCUAGUGAUAAGAAGAGGAAGUGUCAAGCUGAUCCAAAGCCUAGCAAAAAGACCAAGUCUUUGAGAGUUUCUGAUCCACAGCCUGCAACUAUAACCAAUGAGGCUAGAAAGACAGUGUCUUUGAACCAGAGGCCUAAUCCGGAGAAGCGAUUUGAUCAGUCUUUGAGACUUCCUGAUUCACACGUUAUGUUGCUAGAGGGUACUACUGCUGCUGGUCACAUUGAUUGUGCAUUCGACACUGUGGAAAUGUUCCAUCAUGAUCAGGAAUAUGAGACUCAACAUUUUCUGUUAGAGGGUAAUACUGCUGGUCACAGUGAUUAUGCAUUAGUGGAAGUACAAAGGGAUGCAUUUUCCCCUGCUGCUGUUUCAGAACAACAACACACAUGUGCAUCAUCAUUCGCACUACCCAAUCUUACUGAUGAUGUGUUUGUGUCUGAAAAUGAGAGUGGAAAUCAGCAGUUAGAGGAUACCGAUUGCCUUGGUGUUGCAUUGGGGGUUGUAGAAGGGGAUACAUUAUUUCCUGCCCUCUCAGAACAACAAACAUCAUCAUUAAUGUCACAGAUGCAGGAUAUUUGUUAGCGAGAUUCUCUCUAUGCCUCAAAUCAAGUCCUGAAUCUUCUAGAUUACAGAGUUAGAGUCUGUAUAUAAUUUGUCUAGGUUUAUUUCUUGAUUACCAAGUCUUGUUGUACUAUAUAUAAACCUACUGUGUAAACAAUAUUGAUCAAGGGAAUACAAAUUCUACAUGGUAUCAGUAGUUCCAGGCUCUUACUUCUAGCUUUUCUUCCACAAUGGCCUCUGCCUCCUCCUCUAUCUCUUCCCUCCCUUCACCCAAUACUUCUCACUUCAUCAAACUCACAGAAACCAAUUACCUCGUCUGGCUUCGUCAAAUCAAACCUUACCUCUAUGGAAACAAACUUUGGGGCUAUGUUGAUGGCUCUAUUCCUGCUCCCUCUACCACCAUUUUUUCCACCCCAUCCACACCUUCUUCCGCCACCACCGACGAUGCUCCUUCUGUCCAAGGUGUUCCUCAUCUUCCUGUUCAUAUCCCCAAUCCUGCAUACGAACAAUGGUUUGUCAAUGAUCAAUUAACCGUGAGUAUCCUCACCACCACACUCACCGAGCCGAUUGCCGCUCUUACCAUUGGUUUUGACACUGCUAAAGAAAUUUGGGAUUGCUUAGCUCGUCACUUCUCUCAGAAUUCAGUUGCCAGCGCCGCCAGCCUUAAGAUGCAGCUCCUUGAUCUUCAAAAGGGCAAUCAAUCAAUCGAUGAGUACCUUCGUCAUGCCAAAUCUAUUGCUGAUUCCCUUGCUGCCAUCAACAAGCCUGUUUCCGAUGAGGACUUGGUUGUUGCUACUCUUCAUGGACUUGGCUCGGAUUACUUGAUGCUUCGCACUGCCCUCACAUAAAAUCCUCCCUUACCGGAUUUCACUGUGCUCCGUGCCCGGAUUUUGGCAUUUGACAACCAGCGCCAGCCCUCCCCUGAGAACCAUUCUGUCACAGCCCUCUUCUCUAGCAAUUCCCAACCUGGCCGCCCUUCAUUCUCCGGUCGUCGGCAGUUCGCCGCCUUUCCCUCUGGUGGCCGUGGUCGUGGCCGUGGCAGGUUCAACGGCUCCAACACUCGCCCUCAGUAUGGUGUCUCUCUGUUCCAUGCCCAGAAUGUGGUCUCCUAUCCCUCUCAAGCUCCACCCGCCUUCAACCCGAAUUUUUGGGCUCAGUCUGCCCCGCGGCCCACCUUCCCUGGUCAACAACUCCCAGGCCUUCUUGGACCUAGCCCAGCUCAAUGGUGUCCCACUUGCAUGACUUCUCAUCAUGGGUCUAAUUCUUGUCCUCACAAAUUCUCCGGGCCGACAGCUGCUACUCCAUUUGCUGGCGCUCACUUCUCUGGAGAUCUUUGGUAUCCCGACACUGGAGCCACUCAUCAUAUGACCUCUAUACCUCUCCAUAAUCCUCAACCAUACGGCGGUCCACACAAUGUUUUUAUGGGUAACGGUAACUCUAUGCCUGUUUCCCACACGGGUAAUCUUCCCCUCUCUUUGGGGGACUCUCAAUUCUCUCUUCUUAAUGUCUUUCGUGUCCCUUCUCUUCGUCAAAAUCUUCUUUCCGUUGCUCGUUUCGCCAAAGAUAACCUCGUCUUCUUUUUAUUCGCUCCUAAUUUCUAUCAAAUUUAUUGCUUACGCUCUGGUCGCUUAUUGUUUCAGGGCCCAUGUAAAGAUGGUCUCUAUCCGCUUCCUAUCUCCGGUUCGUCCUCCUCAGUUCCUUAUGCUCUAGCUACCGUGUCCUCUUCUUUGUGGCAUCAUCGGUUGGGUCAUCCGUCGUCAUCUGUUUUAAGUCGUCUUGCGUCUUCUCUAGGGUCGAAGUUAUCAUCUAUUUCCUUUUGUAAUACAUGUGCGCUCAGCAAAUCGCACCAAUUACCUUUUCUUUCACGUAGUGACUUUGCUCCAUCUUUAUUUUAUCUAAUUCAUAGUGAUGUUUGGAUGUCUCCGGUUCCUUCCAUUAGUGGCUUUAAAUAUUAUGUUCUCUUUACCGAUGAAUAUUCUCGAUAUACUUGGAUUUAUCCUAUGCGAUGAAAAAAUGAAGUCCUCACUCAUUUUCAGACGCUUGUUGCCAUUAUUAAAAAUCUUUUUCAGGGGACUGUUAAAUAUCUUCAAAGUGACAAUGGCACUGAAUAUGUCAAUCAUGCGUUUUCCGCAUUUUGCUCCUCCAUGGGAAUCCAACAACGCUUUUCUUGUCCACACACCCCUCAACAAAAUGGUCUUGCUGAGCGUAAGCAUCGUCACAUUGUUUCUAUGGUUCGAUCUCUUCUUCUCACUUCUCAUGCUCCACAAGAUCUUUGGGUUGAAGCGGCUAUCACCGCCGUUUAUCUCAUUAAUUUUUUAUCUACUUCCACUCUCAAUUGGGAGACUCCCUACUUCCGUCUUUAUAAAUGUCAUCCUUCUUAUUCAUCUCUUUGUGUCUUUGGUCGUUUGUAUUUUCCUCAUCUUGGUCCAUAUGUUUCAAAUAAAUUGUCGGGUCGUCGUAUUGAGUGUGUCUUUAUCGGGUAUAGUCCUCGUCAUAAAGGAUAUCGUUGUCUUGAUCCCUCUUCCAAUCGUGUCUACAUCUCGAGUCAUGUUUUAUUUAACGAAACACAUUUUCCUUUCAAAGACUUGCAGGUAUGCUCAACGAAUCCGAUUGAGAUUGUGCCACUCACCUCUCGUGGCUCUUCAGCCUCUCUGCCAGGCCAUUCCUUCGCUCCAGCUCCAUUGGGCCUGACCACUUCCCCUGCGGCCCAGACCACUUCUAGUCACCAACAAUCAGGCCCCAUGGCCCAGUCAAGUUCUUCUGCUUCACAACCUAACUUGACCCAGUCUGGUCCUUCUUCUUCUUCUGCCGUGCUUGAUGACACAGCCCUGCCUCUCCCUGACAACCAGCCAACCGACGACCCACCAACUGCCGGUGCUUCCGCCGCUGCCGCCGUCGCCUCACCACCCCCUGAUCCGGCACCACAAGGCACCUCUUCUGCUGCCUCCGUCGCUCCUAUUUGUGAUUCUGUCCACCACAUCACUGACUCCUCCACCACCGGCCCGGAUCCUCCCACUUCGGCUCAGCCUCCACUUGGUUCCUCUGUUGUCCCUGCCACCAAUUCUCACCCCAUGACCACCAGAUUACGUGAUGGCAUCUCCAAACCCAAAACUCGAACCGAUGGCACUGUGAGGUAUCCUAUUUCUCAUGCUCUUCUCACUGUUCUUGAUGCUAUGGAACCUACAUGCUAUUCACAGGCUUCCAAAUCCCCCGAGUGGCGCACGGCUAUGGCUGAUGAGAUCAAUGCGCUCAUGAAAAAUCAUACUUGGUCUCUUGUUCCUCCAUCCUUCUCUCAGAACACAGUUGGUUGUAAAUGGGUAUUUCGUAUCAAACAUAACUCUGAUGGUUCAAUUGAUCGUUACAAAGCACGUCUGGUUGCUAAAGGCUUUCACCAACAACAAGGUGUUGAUUAUGAAGAAACAUUCAGUCCUGUUAUUAAACCUGCAACCAUUCGGACUGUACUUGCUAUUGCUGUCUCUCGUGGUUGGUCCUUACGCCAACUCGACGUUAAGAAUGCCUUUCUCCAUGGCUUCUUAACCGAAGAUGUUUACAUGACCCAGCCGCCUGGUUUCGUUGAUCCAGAACAUCCAACAUAUGUUUGCAAGCUUCAUAAAGCCCUCUAUGGUCUCAAGCAAGCUCCACGGGCCUGGUUUCAUCGCAUCAGUACUUUUCUAUUAUCCGCUGGGUUUCGACAAAGUAAAGCUGAUUCCUCUCUGUUCAUUUUCCACUAUGGGUCACACACAAUGUUUUUACUACUUUACGUGGAUGAUAUUGUUGUCACUGGCAGUAACGAUCGUCUUGUUCAGAGUUUUGUUGAUGCUCUUGGUCGUGGCUUUGACAUCAAGGAUCUUGGCCCUCUUCAUUAUUUUCUUGGCCUCCAGGUAUCAUCCUCUUCUGAUGGUCUUCAUAUUGAUCAGUUGAAAUAUGCACAUGACAUUCUUCAUAAACAUAAUCUCCUCCUUGUUCAACCGGUGAGUACCCCUCUUUCGGCCAAGGCUUCCCUAUCAGCUACUGAUGGUGAUCUUCUCCCUAAUCCUACUUUGUUUCGCGAACUUGUUGGCUCUCUGCAAUAUCUCACCAUCACUCGGCCUGAUAUAGCCUUUGCUGUCAACUCAGUCGCUCAAUUUAUGAGCCAGCCUCGUAUCCCUCAUCUUAUUGCAGCCAAACGUAUUCUUCGGUAUGUCAAAGGUACUCUUGAUCAUGGUCUAUCUUUCCGGCCUCAACGUCAGCCUGUUACUCUUUCUGCUUAUUCUGAUGCUGACUGGGCUGGUUACCCUGAUUCUCGCCGCUCCACUUCCGGCUAUUUGGUGUAUCUUGGGUCUAAUUUGAUAUCUUGGUGCUCCAAGAAACAACCCACUGUGGCUCGUUCCAGUGCUGAAGCUGAAUAUCGGUCCCUUGCUCAUGCCUCUGCUGAGACGACUUGGUUAGGCUACUUACUCUAUGAACUUGGUGCUCACAUUCAUUUCCCUAUCAUACUUUAUUGUGAUAACCUCAGUGCCACUUACAUGGCUUCCAAUCCUGUCUUUCACGCAUGCACCAAACACAUUGAACUUGAUUAUCAUUUUGUUCGUGAAAAAGUUGCUUUGGGGAGCCAUCGUGUUUGUUUCAUUCCUUCUGUGGACCAGCCGACAGAUCUUCUUACCAAACCUCUUCAUAAGCUUCGUCAUCGUCUUUUGUGUACCAAACUUGUUCGUCCAAGGACGCUCAGUUUGCGGGGGGGUGUUAGCGAGAUUCUCUCUAUGCCUCAAAUCAAGUCCUGAAUCUUCUAGAUUACAGAGUUAGAGUCUGUAUAUAAUUUGUCUAGGUUUAUUUCUUGAUUACCAAGUCUUGUUGUACUAUAUAUAAACCUACUGUGUAAACAAUAUUGAUCAAGGGAAUACAAAUUCUACAAUAUUCCUUCUCAAGAAAACAUCAUUGAGUCUCAUAUUCAGUCAGCCUAUGUUCCCCAUAUCGGAUCAGAAUAUCAACAAGCAGAUACCAAUGAUAAAAGAAUUCGCUUUUGCUUAUGAUGAUGAUUUCAGUAAUCUUCCUAUGGAUCCAGCCUACAUUAACUCUGAUGAAUUCAGCAGCUACAUCUUUGGAGACGAGUUCUUGGCGGGAGGGGAUGACAUUGGUACAACAAAUAUACUACAAGGCUCCUCAUCAUUUUCAGCGCUGCUUGAAGAUCAGAAUCAUGAAGUAUAGCUGCCUAGAUAGAGCUCCUUAGUUAAAUUAGUUUGAUCUCGGAACAAGAGUUUUGUACAACUGUAAAUCAUGAAACGAGUUGUUUUGAUUAUAUAUUGUUGAUUAUGUACAUUUUAGUGUCAUCUACUUCUGAUGGCGAUUGUAACAGCUGCAGCAGCAUACUAAAUCAAUAAAGCUCAUAUUUGUUUUCUUAAUAUUUGGUGUUACUAUUUUUGUAUGACAUUUCAUUUGAUUUUAAAGCUACUGUAUGCAUAAGAUAAACAACCAAAAUUUUAACAUUUGGCUUCACUCCAACAUCUCCCUCCCCCUCUAGCGCAUUGUGUCUUGUUCUUCCAUCUCCGGUCUCCCAAAGAGACUUGGACUACCACUUAAUGGACUCUUGGAUAUUAGUUGGGUGUUUUAGCUAGUUUCUUUUUUAUUCUUGUAGAUGUACUGAUAUCAAAGACCAAUUUUCUAAUACCCUACGAUAUUGUAAACCAAUACAUGCUCAGUCUAGCUUUUUUGUUAAGAACCUGCACAAAUGGAUUCUUAAACACACCAACACAAUUUCUAACUCAAAAUCCACCUUACCUUCAUGAGCUUUUGAUAUAUGAUCUAGUAGUGGACAAACCAUUUGCAAAUAUCUCAGAUCCUCAACCUGGUGAAUGAUCAAUUUGGUUUGCAACAAAAAAAAAACAGAUGAUUGAAUGAAUGAAUGAUCAUACAGAGGCAAAAACUUUUGCACCUUGAGAAAUUAACAGAACAACCAGCAAUCUAAGAAACAAAUCUUUGGUAACAAGCACAAAGCAAUACAAACAAUCUACCGUUGUUAUCCACACCAGAACAAUGACAAAUUGAUGAUGACUAGAGAAAAGUGAGGGGUCAAGAGAGAGAUCUUGCAUCUUGAUAUCCUUAACGCUGUCUCUUAUGCGUAAGCACAGGCUUCAUAUGAAAACACAUUAUUCAGCGAUAAGUUGUUUGAACAGCUACAUGCAUACCACACAGUUACACAGAAAACAUAGCAGCAAACACAAAUCUUGGUGCAAGAUAUUGAACAAUUGCACAAUCAACAGGGAAAAAAAAUUGGGAACUUUGAAAUUGAAUCAGAAAUCCACAAGUUACUAGAGUGACAUUUGCUUUAUAGCGUUUUCCACUUCAGUACAGCAUUUAAAUCCUAGGAACUCCAUAGUGAUUUCUAAAACUAGAAUUUAUGUAUGAGCUCAAGCAAUGGUAUAUCUCCAGGUCAGUUAUGCAAAAUUCAAAACCAUCAAGGAUGAAGGAAACGUUUAUCUGCCUACUAGUCAAAACUGACUCAUAACCUGAUAGUUUUAAGCUUAUUCACAUAAGAACUUAGAUUAUGUCAAUAAAUGAAAUCUGCAGUCUUAGAACAUAGACAUGAAAUGAAUGACUGUUACCUUGUAUGGAAUAAAAACAGAAGGAAGCAGAACCAUAGAAAAUUUCUUUCACAUUGCAGAACAAUGCACCUCAAUCUUAUAAGACAUAAAUAAGCAUAUUUACUUAACAACAUGGAUUGCUAAUCCUUUCUACUUAAAUGGCAACUAAAGGACUUCAUGUAACCAUAAAAGUGAAUGAGCAAAUGAUGAUGAUGAAGUUUCAUGCAAAGAUAAGAAUGCACCGACUAUUAAACAUACAUGAAAACUGUAGAGGAUUCUUAGUCACAUUAUGUACAAUUUCAUAUUGAUUGUCCUUUUGGAGUUCUGGAUUACCAGAGAAGAAGCAUUUCUUCAUCCAAAACCUUAAACAGCAGAUUAUUUCAUGUUGCCAUCAAGUUUAACAGAAAAAACAUAAAGAAAAUGAAUAUAGAACACCAGAACAAAAGAAACCAAAUUAACGCCACAAAAUACCAGGAUGUCAACAGUCAUGAUCAUAGAGAACAGCACCAAAUACCACAGUGAAACUCAAUCCUACAUGAUUUUUCUACUCCAAUGUCAACAAGGUCAUGAAGAUAUAACAGAACCAUAUACCUAUCGAAACUCAAUCCUAUGAGGUGUUUUCCUACUCUUACUGCUUCCCCAUACAUGAAACCAUCCAAUCCUUAAGCGGCUGGCAUAACAUUGAUGAAGCAAAGUAUCAAGCCUUCACCUUGGAAAAGACAAUGUCGAGGACCCUUCUUAUCAGAGUUGUUGGAUUGUCUUGUAAAACCCGCAUCAUUUCCCUUGCCUUUGGCCCAUUUCCCUUACGUAUCAUCACCUUCACCAACUCUUUUCCCUCCUCCUCAGCUGCCUUGUCCUCCUUCUUCACAAAACCCACAAACACCACAGUGUAGGUAGCAGCAUUGGGCCUCAUAUCCCUGUCCAUGAUAUCAAGCAAGCACUUCUUGGCAUCUCCAAUGAAAUUGGGGUCAUCAAUGAGUCCCUUGAUUAAAACGGUGUAAGUGUAGCAGUUUAGGGCGACACCAGCAGCUAACAUCCCCUGGUAUGCCUCUAGAGCAUCCUUGUUCUUCCCAAAACUGAAGUAGGUUUCAGUAACGCAGGUAUAGAGUACAACUGUGGGAAGUAUGCCCCUCUCAACGCUGAGCUUGAACACCUCCUGAGCCUGCUCUACAUUGUCAUCCUCUAGCAAAGCCGUGUACAUCUUCAUCGACUCAUUAUGGAGGAGACCAGGGUUGGUGCGCCACUCCAUAAAGACCGUUUGCAUGUCCUCAUCACUUAUGUUGUGCUCCAGAUCAUCAUAUAUCUUUACUGCAGCCAUCGCUUCUAUGAAGUGGCCUACUUCAAAUUGAUAGCGAUUUGGUGCAGGGACAAACCCCUUGGCUUUGAUCUCUUCAAGGAACUCCCUGGCCUUCGCCUUAGACUCCCGGCAGGAAAUGGAAUUCAACAGUAAGAUGUAGGACCCGGAAUUGGGUUUGAAUCCCUUAACUAACAUUUCCAUAAAGUACUUCUUGGCUUCAGAAGAUAAUUAUCCUCAGAACGGUCUACUGCAAGGGCUGUGAUGAGCAGGCUGUAACUGCAGGAGGCCGGGGCGACACCAGUGGAUAUCAUGUGCUGAAAGGCCUUGAGAGCAGCCUUGGUCUUCUGUUCAGUGAGGUAUACCCCAAUAACAAGGGUGUGUACAGCCACAUCGGAAAGUACUGCUGCCUCAGAGAGAGCCUUAAGCUCUGCGGGAAAGUCAACCAGGCCAGAAUUUGCUAUAAACUUGAACAAAUGAGCUGCAUUUUGAUGAAGGGAUUUGUAGUCCCGAAUCAGGUCAAAUUUUACUUGAAACAAAAUGUCCCCACAGUCUUUGGUCGCCUCCUUGAAAACCCUCAUGGCAUAUUCCUUU
rnacentral:lncRNA from 1 species